rnacentral:tRNA from 1 species
AUUGGAGUGGCAGAGACAGGAUAUUGCAAAAGCCCUAAAACCUUUAAACAGAAGUUCAAAUCUUCUCUCUAAUA